CUAUUCUGUUUGCUAAGAUACUUUCUCUUCAAAUCCUUCUCCUAUAGAGAGGUUUCUAUGAGCCAUGGGAUGGGAUGGGGGUGGCCCUCUUCUGGGAUCCAGAGCUCCGUGGAGAGCCCUCUGACUUGGGUCCUGACAUCUUAUGCAGAGCUUGUCUUCAUCUUGCUUCCCUCCUCCAUCAGUCCUCCAGACCUUGAGGACAGGCACUGAGUCUUACCACAGUGUUGAGGCUCCAAGAUGGCGGUCAUCUCCCAAUAAUAUUUUCUAACCUGAGCUGAUUUCUUUAUGACGUAAGAAUUGAAGCCACAAGAGGUUCUGUGACCUGCCUAAAGUCAUAUGCAAAUUAACCAGAUCUUGGCUCCAGUUGUCUACUUUGACUCAAGUGCUGUUUCCCUUAAACCACACAGCUCCUCAGGUCGGGUCAAGCAUAACCUGGAUCUCACCACAUUCUUAUUGGAUUGAAAGAUGUAAUGUUAAUGACGCAAUAGACUCGGAAUCAGCCAAUCAGCAAAUGCUCCUUGAACACCUUGAUGUGGAAGGUACAGGUAGAGAAGGUUUUAACAUGCAAGGCAUUCUGUUUGACAAUCAAACUCAAGGCACACAUAGGCUUAGUGAAGUCCUCCCUCCAUUCUUCACUGCCAGGUGAUAUAGUGAGAAGAUGGAGCCAACACUCAGCCCACUGCCCACCAGCAGUAAGGCCAAAGGAAAAGGACAAUCCUCACCUAUCAACAUGGGCGAUGAAACCAUGGAGAAGCAAGUUCAAGGGUCUUCUGGCUUUGCAAAGGGUUGGAUCUGGAUCACUGAAUACGUGUUGGAAAAUGGAAUAGUGCUUUCCCGUUAAGUCCAUGUAUAUGGCUCUCAUGCAGCAUUCCUGACAAGGGCAGACCAGUUUUUCUUCAGCUACCAUAGUUUCCACCUGGGUGGAUUCUUCAUAGUUGGACCUGGAAGAAAUCUUGAAGAGCAUUAAGCGCAGGGUUCCCUUCUGCCCCACUAUCAGACUGGGGUUCCUAGAUAAACUUGCCCCUCUCCAAAUUUU